AAUGAGGGAAUACACCAUACUACUUGCAAAAACAGUAUCAUACCACUAGUCGAAUAUACAGUAAUGUGCAUACAAGAUGGGGGUUCAAUAUUUGUUCUUGAGUGGCUUACUGAAGACAAUGUUUUUUGCUGGGAUCCUGAGGUGGUGAGUUAUUACAGCGCUUUAUGAAGGAGUCGAGGGUAUUCUGUUUUGAAGAGCUGCUGUGGGACUGAUUAGUCGAAACAUCCAAUGAUUUCUCCUGGCCAUCAAGCAUCUGUCCAAGGUUGUCAAGCUUGCUCUGAACGACACCCCAAAUUAUGUCAUCAACAGUGUCAUUCGCCAGCAGAUAACACACAUUGACAGAGGACACCUGGCCAAUUCUGUGAGCUCGAUCCUCGGCUUGAAUAAGGUCACCUGGAGUCCAUGAUAAUUCUGCAAAUAUCACUGUGCUUGCGG
rnacentral:misc_RNA from 1 species